UACGUAGGGUGCAGGCGUUAAUCGGAAUUACUGGGCGUAAAGCGCGUGCAGGCGGAUUGGUAUGUGCCGUGUGAAAGCUCUCAGCUUGCCUGGGAGAGGUCGCGGUAGACAGCCGAUCUGGAGGCUCGGAGAGGUCAGUGGAAUUCCCGGUGUAGUGGUGAAUGCGUAGAUAUCGGGAGGAACACCAGUGGCGAGCAAGCGGC
rnacentral:rRNA from 1 species